rnacentral:rRNA from 1 species
AACGCUAGCUACAGGCUUAACACAUGCAAGUCGAGGGGAAACGACAUCGAAAGCUUGCUUUUGAUGGGCGUCGACCGGCGCACGGGUGAGUAACGCGUAUCCAACCUGCCCACCACUUGGGGAUAACCUUGCGAAAGUAAGACUAAUACCCAAUGAUAUCUCUAGAAGACAUCUGAAAGAGAUUAAAGAUUUAUCGGUGAUGGAUGGGGAUGCGUCUGAUUAGCUUGUUGGCGGGGUAACGGCCCACCAAGGCAACGAUCAGUAGGGGUUCUGAGAGGAAGGUCCCCCACAUUGGAACUGAGACACGGUCCAAACUCCUACGGGAGGCAGCAGUGAGGAAUAUUGGUCAAUGGACGAGAGUCUGAACCAGCCAAGUAGCGUGCAGGAUGACGGCCCUAUGGGUUGUAAACUGCUUUUAUAAGGGAAUAAAGUGAGCCUCGUGAGGCUUUUUGCAUGUACCUUAUGAAUAAGGACCGGCUAAUUCCGUGCCAGCAGCCGCGGUAAUACGGAGGAUCCGAGCGUUAUCCGGAUUUAUUGGGUUUAAAGGGAGCGUAGAUGGAUGUUUAAGUCAGUUGUGAAAGUUUACGGCUCAACCGUAAAAUUGCAGUUGAUACUGGAUAUCUUGAGUACAGUUGAGGUAGGCGGAAUUCGUGGUGUAGCGGUGAAAUGCUUAGAUAUCACGAAGAACUCCGAUUG